rnacentral:rRNA from 1 species
AUUGAACGCUGGCGGCGUGCCUAACACAUGCAAGUCGAGCGGUAACAGGUGUAGCAAUACAUGCUGACGAGCGGCGGACGGGUGAGUAACGCUUGGGAAUCUGCCUAUUAGUGGGGGACAACCCGGGGAAACUCGGGCUAAUACCGCAUACGCUCUACGGAGGAAAGCCGGGGACCGCAAGGCCUGGCGCUAAUAGAUGAGCCCAAGUCGGAUUAGCUAGUUGGUAGGGUAANGGCCUACCAAGGCGACGAUCCGUAACUGGUCUGAGAGGACGACCAGUCACACCGGAACUGAGACACGGUCCGGACUCCGUACGGGAGGCAGCAGGUGGGGAAUAGUUGGACAAGUGGGCGAAAGCCUGAUCCAGCGACGCCGCGUGGG